ensembl:snRNA U6 U6 spliceosomal RNA
GUGCUUGCUUUGGUAGCACAUAUAUUAAAAUUGGAAUGAUACAGAGAAGAUUGGCAUGGUCCCUGUGCAACGAUGACAUGCAAAUUUGUGAAGCAUUUCAUAUUUUU